rnacentral:rRNA from 1 species
ACGGACUCCUACGGGAGGCAGCAGUAGGGAAUCUUCGGCAAUGGACGAAAGUCUGACCGAGCAACGCCGCGUGAGUGAAGAAGGUUUUCGGAUCGUAAAACUCUGUUGUUAGAGAAGAACAAGGACGUUAGUAACUGAACGUCCCCUGACGGUAUCUAACCAGAAAGCCACGGCUAACUACGUGCCAGCAGCCGCGGAAAUAAU